CAGCUAAAAAGCCCUUCCAGUCAGUUGCAACAACAAUUAAAGCAGCAGGAAACAACCAAGUACACAUGCAAGUGACAAUGAGGAUUGCAAAAGUUUUAAAUAUCAGAAACUGAAGAAGGAAUUGAUAAUUAGCAGAUAACAAAAAAGCGCAAAAGUACUGAUUAUACAACUCUUUUAAAGUUGAGGAAGAAUUUUAUGUGGUAUGUUAAUGCAAAAGGUACGAAUAUUGACAGUUAAACCAUCACCACCUCACCAGCCAUCUUAUCUCAAGCAUUCAAUUGCAUUCUAAGUUAUCUUUAUUCAAAUCAAGUGUGACUACUAUACCAAAAGACUGUAGAAUGGACCAAUCAACUAACCCAUCAGUACUUGCAAAGUCUUCUUUUCUGUAAGCCCGAAAUUUGAGUUCUAAAAUACCAUUAUCCACAUAACUACUAUAUCAAAGCACAAACUAAUGGAUUGAUCAAGAAGGGCACUGCAGUUGUCUUGCAGUUAUGCAACUUAUCAACCCAUAACUGCGAUAACUACAAGAUUUUUUAAUAAGAAAAGAGAUUGUAUGACUUCGGUAUCCGCAAUACGGUAUCGUGCAUUGAUUCCCAUCUUAGAAUGGCUCUCUUCCGUAUAGGUGGAAAUAGGAAAGGUUAUGUCUUUUUUUCCAAUUCUUAAAACGAAGAGGCUUAAUCGGUUCAAACAAAGAUGACGAUGAUCAUUAUGGAGCCGAUCAUAAUGAGGAAUACGAUAAUGCAUAUAAUAAUAAAUAAAAUGAUUUUACUUGUAUCUUAAACUUAUUUAAAUAAAAAAUUAUUUGU
rnacentral:lncRNA from 1 species